rnacentral:rRNA from 1 species
GCCUAACACAUGCAAGUGAGCGAUUUACUUCGGUAAAGAGCGGCGGACGGGUGAGUAACGCGUGGGUAACCUACCCUGUACACACGGAUAACAUACCGAAAGGUAUGCUAAUACGGGAUAAUAUAUUUGAGAGGCAUCUCUUAAAUAUCAAAGGUGAGCCAGUACAGGAUGGACCCGCGUCUGAUUAGCUAGUUGGUAAGGUAACGGCUUACCAAGGCGACGAUCAGUAGCCGACCUGAGAGGGUGAUCGGCCACAUUGGAACUGAGACACGGUCCAAACUCCUACGGGAGGCAGCAGUGGGGAAUAUUGCACAAUGGGCGAAAGCCUGAUGCAGCAACGCCGCGUGAGUGAUGAAGGCCUUCGGGUCGUAAAACUCUGUCCUCAAGGAAGAUAAUGACGGUACUUGAGGAGGAAGCCCCGGCUAACUACGUGCCAGCAGCCGCGGUAAUACGUAGGGGGCUAGCGUUAUCCGGAUUUACUGGGCGUAAAGGGUGCGUAGGCGGUCUUUCAAGUCAGGAGUGAAAGGCUACGGCUCAACCGUAGUAAGCUCUUGAAACUGGGAGACUUGAGUGCAGGAGAGGAGAGUGGAAUUCCUAGUGUAGCGGUGAAAUGCGUAGAUAUUAGGAGGAACACCAGUUGCGAAGG